AUUCAACCUGAGAGUUUGAUCCUGGCUCAGAACGAACGCUGGCAGCAUGCCUAACACAUGCAAGUCGAACGUGAAGCUAUCUUCGGAUAGUGGAAAGUGGCGCACGGGUGAGUAACGCGUGGGAACCUGCCCCGAGGUUCGGAAUAACGGCUGGAAACGGCCGCUAAUACCGGAUACGCCCUGAGGGGGAAAGAUUUAUUGCCUUGGGAGGG
rnacentral:rRNA from 1 species